AUGAACAUUAUUCAAAAGACAACGAUGUGAAAUUAGAGGAACAUAGCAUUAUGGAACAUAUGGGCAUUGACUCAGGAACCGCUAAUAUUUUUGAUGACGUAGACAAGAAUGACUUUAAAACUGACUUUGGUUCCGAAUUUCCAAUUUUUUCUCCUAUGCCUGGAGAGUCCUGUGAGAAUGCCAACUCUUCCUUAGACAGAAGAAUUUCAGUUAAUAGUGAGAAGAUGGUGAAGAGAGAAAAACAGAGGGAAUUAAUAUUUCCAUCCAAUUAUGACCUCCUUCGGCACCUGCAAUAUGCCACACAUUUCCCUAUAC